AGACGCAGCUCCUCCUAUCGACGCAGACUUGCUUGAACUUCUCCAUCUCUCUCGAUCUCUUUCUUCAUCUCUCGAUCUGAUCUCUCUCAAUCUCGAGCUCUCUCUCCAUCACGAGGCCUCUAUCCCAUCUCAAGCUCUCUCUCCAUCUCUCUCCGUCACGAGCUGUCUUUCCAUCUCUCUCCGUCACGAGCUCUCUAUCCAUCUCAAGCUCUCUCUCUAUCCAUCUCAAGCUCUCUCUCUCUCUCCAUCUCAAGCUCUAUAUCCGACACAAACCCAUCUCAAGCUCUCUCUCAUCUCCGACGCAAACCCAUUUGGAAGGGAGCAAGAUGACUAUGUGGUAGUAAGGAAGGUGGGGCGUGGGAAAUACUGUGAAGUGUUUGAGGGAUUUAACGUGAACACCAAGGAGAAGUGUAUCGUUAAGAUCCUCAAACCUGUUAAGAAAAAGAAGAUAAGAAGAGAGAUUAAAGAUACUUCAGAACUUGUGUGGUGGGCCAAACAUUGUGAAGCUGUUCGAUGAAGUUCCAAAACCUGGUUAAAGAUCAAAACGCAUACACGAUGAUGGAUGGGAUCUGAAGUUCUGACGUUACAUUUGGUGGCUUCAUUCGAGACUACUUGUUUGCAGGGAUAAUUCACUGAGGUGUUGAUGGCCAAAAGAACACUUGGAUAAGAUGAGAGAAGAUAUAGAGGAUGAGUAGACAAAAAAAAUGUAGAGAAUUUUGAUACUAUUGAAUACCACUAGUAUAACGUUUCAUUAUAUACCAUAAUUAAGUUUAUUUACUUAUUUAGCUACAUUAUUUUGGAAAAUAUGCACCAAACU